rnacentral:rRNA from 1 species
UGUCCUCAUCCAUUACUCCUACGGGAGGCAGCAGUGAGGAAUCUUCCACAAUGGACGAAAGUCUGAUGGAGCAACGCCGCGUGCAGGAUGAAGGCUUUCGGGUCGUAAACUGCUUUUGUUAGCGAAGAAUAUGACGGUAACUAACGAUAGGGAUCGGCUAACUACGUGCCAGCAGCCGCGGUAAUAAC